rnacentral:rRNA from 1 species
CAGAGGGGGCAAGCGUUGUUCGGAAUUACUGGGCGUAAAGGGCGCGUAGGUGGCCUUCUAAGUUGAACGUGAAAUCCCUGGGCUCAACCCAGGAACUGCGUCCAAGACUGGGAGGCUUGAAUCCGGGAGAGGGAUGCGGAAUUCCAGGUGUAGCGGUGAAAUGCGUAGAUAUCUGGAGGAACACCGGUGGCGAAGGCGGCAUCCUGGACCGGUAUUGACACUGAGGCGCGAAAGCCAGGGGAGCAAACGGGAUCAGAUACCCCGGUAGUCCUGGCCCUAAACGAUGAAUGCUUGGUGUGGCGGGUAUCGAUCCCUGCCGUGCCGAAGCUAACGCAUUAAGCAUUCCGCCUGGGGAGUACGGUCGCAAGGCUG